ACCCCAUGCGCUGCAGCUUGCUGUGAAUGGAGAGCUGGCUGCUAGAAGGGGGUGGCACUGUGAGUGGGGAACAAGUAUGCCCAAGGAGUUAGAAGGCUUUGGCCCAGAUAGCACCCUCAGAAGACUUCCUCAGACUGGAUUAGGGAUGCUGGUGUGACCUCACCUGGCAGCCCCCAAAGAAGGAACUGGGUGGAAUGAAUGGACAGUGCACCUCUCUAUCUGAAACCUAGCAGGGGAGGACAGUCUUGUAAGAUAUCCUCCAAUCACACAAGCUGAAAAUUGUUCCACUUGACUGCAGUUCUGUAACCAUGCAGGAACGAAUUCCGUCUGUGUUUUGCGCAUGUCCAAAAUUCCUGCUGAAUUCAGAAGUGCCUUGCUUUUGUGACCACACAACCUGAUAUUUUCAGCCCUGAUGUGGCCAGAGUGAUCACGGAAAGAAGAAAAAUAGGAAAUGAAGGAGAGAGUGAGGAAAAAGAGGAGAGGCAAGAAACAAUGAUGAGGAAUGGGAGAGGCAAACAGUGGAAGUUGCUUUGGGCGUCGGCUGCAGCACUUUCUAGGGUCAAAUGUGCCUCCAAAUAUUUUCUGCAUUACAGAUGUUUUGAUAAAAGAGCCUGGGUUUGACAGUCCUUCUGUUCAGUGCAGAAGCCACUUACUGCUUCCUGAUUCUGCAUAAGGCCCAACACCAGUGAGUUAAGGCAGCUUCGGAUCUUCUCUAAUUUACCCGACUGGUGUAAUGUCAGUGAAGGAUUGGUGGAGUGAAGCAUCACCAUGCUGCUGGCAUGCUUCUCCUUCCCUCGGCAUACAUCUUUCACCAGCGGGGCCAGGCAGGAGAGGGCAAGGCAUCUGGAAGUCAUCAGGCAAGCAGGGCCCACUGCUUGAUGUACCAGCCAGUAAGAAGCAGCAGCUAAGGUGAGAGUGAGAAAGACAGUGAUUUUAUUUAUCUCAUGGAUC